rnacentral:misc_RNA from 1 species
GUGAUUAAAUCGAGCGUGUCUUCAUUGACCGCUCACCCUUCUCACCCUCCACAUACACCUGUGCACUGUUUAGCCUGAGCCGGUUUUCCGGUCCAGGUUAUCAUUUCAUACAAACUCUAGUCUUAUGAAUGUAAACGUUUUAAUAACAUAAUA